CCUACGGGUGGCAGCAGUGGGGAAUAUUGGACAAUGGGGGGAACCCUGAUCCAGCCAUGCCGCGUGUGUGAAGAAGGCCCUCGGGUUGUAAAGCACAUUCAGUGAGGAAGAACGCCUGGUGGUUAAUACCCAUCAGGAAAGACAUCACUCACAGAAGAAGCACCGGCUAACUCCGUGCCAGCAGCCGCGGUAAUACGGAGGGUGCGAGCGUUAAUCGGAAUUACUGGGCGUAAAGCGCGCGUAGGUGGCUUGAUAAGCCGGUUGUGAAAGCCCCGGGCUCAACCUGGGAACGGCAUCCGGAACUGUCAAGCUAGAGUGCAGGAGAGGAAGGUAGAAUUCCCGGUGUAGCGGUGAAAUGCGUAGAGAUCGGGAGGAAUACCAGUGGCGAAGGCGGCCUUCUGGACUGACACUGACACUGAGGUGCGAAAGCGUGGGUAGCAAACAGGAUUAGAUACCCCAGUAGUC
rnacentral:rRNA from 1 species